CGACGGCAGCAGUAGGCUGAAACUAGUAGUUUCAUCAUAGUGCAUAGGAAUAUUAAGGGGGCUACCAAUUGCUGAAUGAUCAGUUUAUUUGAUCCACAUGGAAGGGCUCAUCACAAUUUAUUUGUAAAAUGAAACUGUUAAGGCUAUACUGCAAUUUCUGCUUGCUCGUGACGCUGAAAGAAAGAAGGCCUGCAAAGAAGAAUCUUUUGUUUGUUGAUACCCCAUGAUUUUAACCAUGUUAUCUUGUUUUUUCUACACCGUGCAUGUUUGGAGCUUGCUAAUAUACUGUUUGAUUUAUUAGGAUUUUUAUGAAUCUAUAUAUAAUGAAUCCCGGAUCAGCGGGCACUGUCUCGAUACAUACAGGUGGGUCACGACUUCAACCAUUUUGUCAACCUGGCCACACACGGUACACGUACCCAUUAAGUUCAUGUAAAGUUUUCGUACAAAAGUAUACCCUAAUCGAUG
rnacentral:lncRNA from 1 species